GACGGAAAGACCCCGUGAACCUUUACUAUAGCUUGACACUGAACAUUGAGCCUUGAUGUGUAGGAUAGGUGGGAGGCUUUGAAGUGUGGACGCCAGUCUGCAUGGAGCCGGCCUUGAAAUACCACCCUUUAAUGUUUGAUGUUCUAACGUGGACCCGUAAUCCGGGUUGCGGACAGUGUCUGGUGGGUAGUUUGACUGGGGCGGUCUCCUCCUAAAGAGUAACGGAGGAGCACGAAGGUUGGCUAAUCCUGGUCGGACAUCAGGAGGUUAGUGCAAUGGCAUAAGCCAGCUUGACUGCGAGCGUGACGGCGCGAGCAGGUGCGAAAGCAGGUCAUAGUGAUCCGGUGGUUCUGAAUGGAAGGGCCAUCGCUCAACGGAUAAAAGGUACUCCGGGGAUAACAGGCUGAUACCGCCCAAGAGUUCAUAUCGACGGCGGUGUUUGGCACCUCGAUGUCGGCUCAUCACAUCCUGGGGCUGAAGUAGGUCCCAAGGGUAUGGCUGUUCGCCAUUUAAAGUGGUACGCGAGCUGGGUUUAGAACGUCGUGAGACAGUUCGGUCCCUAUCUGCCGUGGGCGCUGGAGAACUGAGGGGGGCUGCUCCUAGUACGAGAGGACCGGAGUGGACGCAUCACUGGUGUUCGGGUUGUCAUGCCAAUGGCACUGCCCGGUAGCUAAAUGCGGAAGAGAUAAGUGCUGAAAGCAUCUAAGCACGAAACUUGCCCCGAGAUGAGUUCUCCCUGAGACUUAG
rnacentral:rRNA from 1 species